rnacentral:rRNA from 1 species
UACGUAGGGUGCAAGCGUUGUCCGGAAUUAUUGGGCGUAAAGAGCUCGUAGGCGGUUUGUCGCGUCUGCUGUGAAAACCCGAGGCUCAACCUCGGGCCUGCAGUGGGUACGGGCAGACUAGAGUGCGGUAGGGGAGAAUGGAAUUCCUGGUGUAGCGGUGGAAUGCGCAGAUAUCAGGAGGAACACCGAUGGCGAAGGCAGUUCUCUGGGCCGUAACUGACGCUGAGGAGCGAAAGCUAGGGGAGCAAACGGG